rnacentral:rRNA from 1 species
ACGAACGCUGGCGGCGUGCCUAAUACAUGCAAGUCGAACGAAGCUUUCUUUCACCGAAUGCUUGCAUUCACCGAAAGAAGCUUAGUGGCGAACGGGUGAGUAACACGUAGGCAACCUGCCCAAAAGAGGGGGAUAACACUUGGAAACAGGUGCUAAUACCGCAUAACCAUGAACACCGCAUGAUGUUCAUGUAAAAGACGGCUUUUGCUGUCACUUUUGGAUGGGCCUGCGGCGUAUUAACUUGUUGGUGGGGUAACGGCCUACCAAGGUGAUGAUACGUAGCCGAACUGAGAGGUUGAUCGGCCACAUUGGGACUGAGACACGGCCCAAACUCCUACGGGAGGCAGCAGUAGGGAAUCUUCCACAAUGGACGAAAGUCUGAUGGAGCAACGCCGCGUGAAUGAAGAAGGCCUUCGGGUCGUAAAAUUCUGUUGUCAGAGAAGAACGUGCGUGAGAGUAACUGUUCACGUAUUGACGGUAUCUGACCAGAAAGCCACGGCUAACUACGUACCAGCAGCCGCGGUAAUACGUAGGUGGCAAGCGUUGUCCGGAUUUAUUGGGCGUAAAGGGAACGCAGGCGGUCUUUUAAGUCUGAUGUGAAAGCCUUCGGCUUAACCGAAGUAGUGCAUUGGAAACUGGAAGACUUGAGUGCAGAAGAGGAGAGUGGAACUCCAUGUGUAGCGGUGAAAUGCGUAGAUAUAUGGAAGAACACCAGUGGCGAAAGCGGCUCUCUGGUCUGUAACUGACGCUGAGGUUCGAAAGCGUGGGUAGCAAACAGGAUUAGAUACCCUGGUAGUCCACGCCGUAAACGAUGAGUGCUAAGUGUUGGAGGGUUUCCGCCCCUCAGUGCUGCAGCUAACGCAUUAAGCACUCCGCCUGGGGAGUACGGUCGCAAGACUGAAACUCAAAGGAAUUGACGGGGGCCCGCACAAGCGGUGGAGCAUGUGGUUUAAUUCGAAGCAACGCGAAGAACCUUACCAGGUCUUGACAUCUUCUGACAAUUCCAGAGAUGGAACGUUCCCUUCGGGGACAGAAUGACAGGUGGUGCAUGGUUGUCGUCAGCUCGUGCCGUGAGGUGUCGGGUUAAGUCCCAUAACGAGCGCAACCCCUACCGUUAGUUGCCAUCAGGUCAAGCUGGGCACUCUGGCGGGACUGCCGGUGUAAGCCGAGAGGAAGGUGGGGAUGACGUCAAAUCAUCAUGCCCCUUAUGACCUGGGCUACACACGUGCUACAAUGGACGGUACAACGAGUCGCUAACUCGCGAGGGCAAGCUAAUCUCUUAAAGCCGUUCUCAGUUCGGAUUGCAGGCUGCAACUCGCCUGCAUGAAGUCGGAAUCGCUAGUAAUCGCGAAUCAGCAUGUCGCGGUGAAUACGUUCCCGGGCCUUGUACACACCGCCCGUCACACCAUGAGAGUUUGUAACACCCAAAGUCGGUGGGGUAACCUUUUGGAGCCAGCCGCCUAAGGUGGGACAGAUGAUUGGGGUG